rnacentral:rRNA from 1 species
UACGUAGGGCGCAAGCGUUGUCCGGAAUUAUUGGGCGUAAAGAGCUCGUAGGCGGCUUGUCACGUCGGUUGUGAAAGCCCGGGGCUUAACCCCGGGUCUGCAGUCGAUACGGGCAGGCUAGAGUGUGGUAGGGGAGAUCGGAAUUCCUGGUGUAGCGGUGAAAUGCGCAGAUAUCAGGAGGAACACCGGUGGCGAAGGCGGAUCUCUGGGCCAAUACUGACGCUCAUGCACGAAAGCGUGGGGAGCAAACAGG